rnacentral:rRNA from 1 species
AUGAUGGAAUAUAUCAAUAAAGAGCUUGAUGAUGUUACUAAGGAAAUAUAUGGUCUUAAAUCUCAAUUUGCUCAUAUCAAAAAUUUAGUAGGCCAAAUUUCCGACAAGAAAACUACUUUAGUAAAUAAGAUGGCUGCUAAACCGGAGUCUAUAAAUAAUGAUGGAGAUCUUAAAGUGAUUGGUGUGACUCCUAUUGAAUCUUUGUUUGCUAAUAUAAAACUUGAUAAAUAUGCGACUGGAGAUGAGUCAACUUUAGCUAGAAGGCAUCCCAAUAAUUUGGAGGGUGAAGAUCUUAAUGAAACAAUUGACAAAAGUGGGAUUGCGAGGUCAAAACUUGAAGUGGUGAUGAACCCACUCUUUUGGAUCUCAAGGACUUUAAUUAUGAUAAUUGUUCUUUGA